GGGGUGCUCGAGUGGCGAACGGGUGAGUAACACGUGAGUAACCUGCCUUAGACAUUGGGAUAGCCUCGGGAAACCGGGAUUAAUACCAAAUAAAAUCAUAAUGACACAUGUCAUAACGAUCAAAACUCCGGUGGUCUAAGAUGGACUCGCGUCCCAUUAGCUAGUUGGUAGAGUAAAAGCCUACCAAGGCGACGAUGGGUAGCCGGCCUGAGAGGGUGAACGGCCACAUUGGAACUGAGAAACGGUCCAA
rnacentral:rRNA from 1 species